rnacentral:lncRNA from 1 species
CUCAGCCUUUGAAGCUGGGCGGGAGGGGCUUGGCCCAGGCUGCAAGACACAGAGCUUCCCUUUUCUUUUGUAGUGGCUCUUCCUGCACAGCAGAGGGUAUCUCAAAAGGCUGAUGAAAACCUCAAGAGAGGAAUGGGAAGCCUUCUAAACCAUGCCUGUCUUCCCUGUUAUCAGGCAUGUCCCUUGCCAGUUUGUGGUGCUGAGCUGUCUUCCUCAGCAUUUGCUUUCAUCUUCUCGUUCUCCCUCCCGCCUUCCUAAUCCCCUUUCACAAGUCAAGCCAGGAGCUGCAGUCUCUAAUUUGCAGAGGCGACAGACAGGGUCUUGCUGUCUAGCUAAAGCUGUGCUGUACUCAUGAUCCGUGUAUUUCAGCCUCCCUGGUUCUGGGAUUACAAGCAGGUAUUACUGUUCCUGGCUUUUCUUGUAUCUUUAUAGUUGUUGUAUUUUCUUAGCAUGAUACAAUUUAUUUUUUUCUUCUUUGAUGGGUUCAAUGAACCUUUGCACUUUCCUCCAUUUUCUGUUUUCUCAUGGCUGUCAAAACUUAUGGUAUGAUUUCAAUAUAUUAAUUUUGUGG